rnacentral:misc_RNA from 1 species
CAGAGUAACGCGGUCUUCGGAUCGAUUACCCGCCCUUUUGUCAUAUGCUUGACGGGGUUGGUUCCUUUUUUAAAGGGCAAACCCCCGAAAAUACUUCCCAGGAGGUGUCAUGUCUCUCCGUUCGUGUGAGGGGUGACCGCCUGGGGUUUUUUUCCCCACAAUCCUUUGCGAGAACCUGAAGUCUGAAGUGAAAAAAAAAAAGCA